rnacentral:lncRNA from 1 species
AAAAAAAAAAAGAUGGUGAAACUACUUGCUAAGUCCCUCUUUUAUAGGGAUUGGAUCAAAUUAGUCACUUCUAUUAAAUAGAUUAAUUUAGUCAUUGUACUAAUUAAAAAGAAUCAAAUAAGACUAAAUUGUAUGAGAGUUACCACUUACUGUUUAAAUGAUGACAUGAAAAUUAUUAUUAUGUUAUUUUUUUGGCAAUUUAAUUUCAAACAAAAUAUUUCAUUUACAAAACCAUAAAAGCUUUGAAAAUAUUAACUGUAUUAUACAAAAAAUGAUAUUUUUUAAACAAUAAAGGUUAACUCAGUUGAAAUUUGGCAUUAUUUGAUUCUUUUUAAUAGUACAGGGACUAAAUUGAUCUACUUAAUAGUAGGACUAAUUUGAUCCUGUCCCUACAAUAGAGUGGAUAAUUAUGAAAUUUAGUGGAUAAAUUUGAAGCAUAAUGAUGGAGCUGUGGAAUUUCUUUAUGUAUUAAAACAAAAGCUUACGGAUUUGAUGGACUGAUAAUUAGCUUGUUUGGUCCAAUGCUAAUAAACUUGAGGCUUUUCUUCUAGCAUUCAGUUUAUCUUGCUUAUAUUAGCAUUCAUUUUUACAAAGUUAAACUUUCUAUUUUCCUUGAAUCUAUUGCUUAGGGUAUUUUAAUGUUGAUUACAGUGAGUUUGCAGAUCCUAUUGUUGCAGCAGCAACUCUUGAUUUUCUUUAUGUAAACAAGAACAAACUUCUCAUAUCUUUCCCCAACUUACUACCUCAGGUAUGAUCAUCAGUUUCUGUUGAUAAACAUGAUGCUUUCUAAAGCAUUAAAGAUGCUAAAUAUAUGAAUAAUGGACAAUGUUGUUUAAGUUCAUAAAAAUGAUGCUAUUUUUGUUAUAUUGCUUUAUAUAACCUAUUUCUUGGUACAACAAAAGAUUUUUACAAGGUACAAAUUUAAUUUUGUCUCAAAAGCCAUUCUGAGGUCUCAUGCACUGAACGAAUAUUCUCUGGAUGGUUUGUUCCUACAAACAUGAGUUAAGGCAUUCACUUCAAUCAUUAACAAAACCUGUAAAGGUGAAAUGAAAACAUUCUAAUGUGCUUGUUCUGACUGACUACCAUUUUUAAGUAAUCUUUAAGUACUUGCUUUGGAAAUUAUGUUUUAUUUGGAAAUAUACUCUGUGGUUUUACUUGUUAUCGCUCAUCUUCCCUUUGCCCAAUUUUAUAUUUUGGUUUAAUACCUGUUUUGGCCUUGUACUAUAGUGAAAUUCUCAUUUGGUCCUUUUACUAUUUUUUUGGUCACUCUGCCCUCCCUACUUUCAUUUCGUCCACCACUUGAGCCUAUUGGCCAUUUCGGUUAAAAAAGAUCCCGUGUGGCCAUUUAAGCCAAUCAAAUCUGAACACACAAGGGGCCAAAGUGAAAACUUCACUAUCAUACAGAGGCCUAACUAAAAAUUUCAUUACAAGUCAAGGGGCAAACACAUGAACAGGUAGAAUUUUUUUAACGGAAAUGGUCGAGGGGCUAACGUGAUGGAUUGAAUGAAAGUAGAGAGGACAAAGUGAUUGAAAAAAAAAGUAAAAUGACCAAAGUGAAUUUUAUUAUAAUAUAGGGGCCAAAAUAAGUAUGAAUACUUAUAUAUUUAUUGUUUGAAAAGUAGACUGAGCGCGGAAUCAAGCAUAUAUCCAUGUGUUAUUCAUGCUAAUAUUCUUAAUAUCUUUGUAGUUUUUCCCUUUGAUUCUGAAGCUGACUGCAUGGAAUGGAGGAAAGUAAGUUCUCCUAUCUAAGUUUUAUUCCUUUCAGAGAGGCCUUAAUCUUCAAGUGAUUGUGAUAUGGUGGUCGACUGCCUGGUUGGCAACAGCCUGGUUUCCCUUUGGUCUCACCUCCACCGCAUGUCAACUCUUUUAUAGUAAUAAGCGGGCUAAACUGUCUCUAACUAAUAAGAUAAAUAUUUAACCCUGUGAUAUGGUUUGCAUAAUACACUGUUAGAGUACUCAUAAAUGAUUUGUUUGAACUGCUUUUUGAGGAAGAUACGAGCCGCUAAUCCUCACGUGUCUGCAUUGCAGAUUAGAGAAGCCAUUUCUCAAGGUUCUACCAGGAUUGGUGUCACCUGGGUCAUUUCUCCCACUAUUUCCAUCUUUAAUGGACUUGCCAAGUGAGUGUCACAUGUCUUGAUUGAUGAAGUGGAUUUUUCUUAUUUCUUCUUGAACUAAUUGUUCUGUCUGACAUUUGUUUAUGUGCACUAGUCUUGGUUGUGGCUUUGGAAAAGGUAGAACGAAGCUCAGGAUCACUAGUAGGAAACAAUAUAGCUUCGAUCCAAAAGAGUAAAGCUCCUGAGGUUAUAAUGUGGGACUUUAUAAAUUGUAUGUUCUAAGUUAAAAGCUCAUUAUGUAGUUCAAAUGCUAAACACUCCCUUUAUAUGAUUCAGAUGCUACUUGCUCUCAUGGAUGAGGCUUAUACUGGUACUACCAUUGGGGAGAGAGGGGGAGAUGAAUCUGAGGAAAGCAGUACAAUAAAUGUGGCUGACCCUCUGUUUCUUGAACUUCUCAAGGAUGAAAAUGAUGGCCUUGUUGUAUGUUUUCUAUUUCAAGAACUUCAUUUUAUAAUUAGACAAAUGCACUUAAAAACUUGGUAUUACUGGAGGAAAAUAUAAUUAGGUAACCAUUCCAAGCUUUUUUUUCUAUCUGAAGGAUUUCUGUCUCAAUGCUCUUGUAUACUACUUUUUAUUUAUGAAUGAGUUAAAUCACUAUUUGAGGUCUAAACUUGGCAACUACUCUCACAUUGGGGUUUGGACAUUUUAUUAGUUCAAGUUAGUCCUUGGACUUGGCAAUUGUUGCUUCAUUGAGGCCAGAUUUUUUUUAGUUCAAGUUAGUGUUUCCUUUAUUAUUGUAGUGUUUCGUCAUUCAAUAAUACAAUAUCAUAAUUUCAAGCUACUAUGCAUAGCUUAAGCUUAGUGUUUAUUUUAGAUGACUAAUUUUGCGUUUUUCCUCUUGGAGUUAGAAACAUGUUGACGCUUGAAAGCUGUUUGAUUGUUUCAGGAACGCCACUGGACUUCACCUGGGAUUGCUGCAGUGCUACAGGCUGCAAAGAACAGCCCUCAGUCUGAUAGAUUGAAGCAAAUACUCAAGAUAGCACCUCGGCUUCUUGAUGCGUAUUUCACUAUAGCUUUGCGUGAUGCAAAUAGCUGUAUGUUUUAAAUCAUUACUAAUCCGGUUGACAUCCAUUUUAGUGUUUAUAUAACUUUUAUUUAUAGAAUGUAGCUUUUGUUAAAGAGUUGAUGAUGUUCCUUGUUACUUUGUGUUAUUGCCUUUCUUUUGUAGCAUUAAUCUGUGCAUUAAUUCCCAUUCUGAUGACAAGGAUUUCCGCACUGUUUCCCGACCAGAACUAUAUGUACGAGGUGUGUAUAUAUUUUCAAUAUAUUGUAGUUCUUUCAUUGUAUUGCUUGUUGGAGCACUGCCUAGUGGUUUUCUUAUUAUCUAAAGAGGAUGGAAUACCCCUCUAAAUCCUCCUUAACAAUCAGAAUGAGUUAAGGUGUCUUUGUAUGAAUUUGAGUAUUUUGCUUGUCGAUGUCCUUGUUACGGUACGGCGAUUUAGAUGGUGAGACAAGAAUUGCUUAAAUUCUGAGAAGUUUUUAUUUGCAGGUUCGUAGAAGGCUUCUAGAAUUCAUGCUUGCCGCAUUUCAUCGUUCUCCAGAUCUUAUACCACUCUUGAAGGUAUCUGUCGUACAAGUUUCACGUAUAUUUGCAAACUUAUUAUUUUAUGUAGUUAAAGUCCAAUUUAACCAUCUGCAGAAGCCUAUAAUCGACAGGCUCGGGAAUGCAUAUGACAGCACAGAAAAGGUCCAAAAAUGACAUCAUAUUUUUUUUUUCCAGGUAAACAGCAGCUGUGCUUUAAGUUACAGAUCUAAUUUUAUAUAUUCUGACUUUGUUUAGACAGAACUGGCAUUACAAUUGUGUUGGGCUGUAGGCGAGUAUGGUGGGGGUGGUCCAACUCACAAAGAUGCUGCUAGAGAACUUUUUGAAAGUCUAGAGCUACUUUUGUAUGAAAAUCUUUCAUCCAGGUAACAUUUCCAUAGCUCGGUUUUACGUUCUACUUCUUUGUAAUGUUAUAUGCUGAAUUGAAAUCUUCGCUUUUGGAAGUCGUCUAGGUCUGAGACAGGAAGCUGCGGUCAAUUCUAACCGUAAGAGCUUCAGUAAGUCAUCACAAUCAAGGCUUCUAUGUUUUGUUAUCACAGCUAUCACUAAGCUCGCCACUCAUCACCGUGAACUAUUGCCAAGAGCACGCGUAGCCUUGAUCAAGGUUUGUUAAGAAGGAAAUGAACUCUUAUUACUUUUUAAGUAUUUUGCCUAACAAUUUUCCAUUGUCAUAUUCAGGUUGCUCGAUCUCGAAUAUCAGAUUCAAAGGUGUCGAAGUGAGCUCAAGUUUAUUUGGGUUUAAUUGAUGAGUCUGGUAUUUGUUUGCCUGUCUUGGGACCUUCCCGCCCUUCACAUGGAUUCGUGCAUUAUCCAGGCACUGUCAACUGGAAUGAAGGAGGCAACAAAAUGGUCGCACAUAUCCCGUUUUACAUUCUCGGCGAACAGGAAGGUAAAAUUAUAUUCAACAUCUAAAAGUUAUAUUCCGUUUUACAUUCUCGGCAGACAGGAAGGUAAAGGACCUUGCCACUUACCCUCUUCUGCCAAAAAAAUACAUUGCAUACCGUUAUUUUCUGAUAUUGAACCAACAAAACCGAUAGGAAUUCGACUCUCUACCGUUACAAUCUUCUAUUAACUUCGUCGUUACUAAUGCAGGUCCACCCUUCCAUGAUUUUUCACUAUCAGAUGUUCUUCCAAGAAGAUCAUAAAGCUACAUAGUAAGGUAUCUUUGGAGUCCAGAGUUUCCGAUUUAUAGCAGGGAUAAGUAACAUUCGAUUCAAAUUUAUUUCCUUAUUUAAAUAAGUCUCUUUUAGUCUGAUGGUUAAAGUGAUUUUAUAUAUUAAUAUUUAACUAAGUGAUUCUAUUAAACCACUUGUUAGAUAAUGUGUAUAGUCAUCAAAAUAUUUCAUGUUGACAUAUAUUAAUAUUUACAAUUAUUGGAUGAUGAAAUUUUGGUUUUAUAAUAUCUAACCAUAUUAAAAAUACUUUAUAUCAUAUAAUACUUAGCAAACAAUUUUUAACUUUUUAAUGUCCAAACUAUUAUACAGUACUUUAAAAACUGGAAAUAGAAAUUUUAAUAAUAAAAAUAAGAAUUUUAGAAGAUUAAAAACAUUUUAUUCAACAUGAAAAUGACUCUAAUGACCUGGCAACUAAUCUCAUCAUCCAAUGGUUGGUUUGAUGUCAUGUGUUCAUUAUAAUUUUAGAGAUUUAAAUGAUUUUUUUUAUAUUUUUUAUAUUUUUAAUAAUUUAUCAUAAUUUUUUAUAACUAAUUAGGAUAUUUUGAAUUUUUUUAUAAAAUUUUAAUUUUUUUAUUAAUUUUAUAUUUUUAUAAUUUAUUAUAAGCUUUUAUGAUUUUUUAUAUAAAUUAUUUCAUAAAUUUUAUAAUUGGAAUUGAAAAAGAAACGAUUGCAUAAAGAAGGAAUAUACAAAUACUAAUAUAAAAAUGUAUGAUAAACUAGCAUUAGAAUCAAUUCGAUAUAAAAAUAUCAAAUCUAAAAUUGAAAUAUAUUAACUAAGUGAGUUUGAGCACGUUUAAGCAUAUUUAUCUUUCUAUUUAAAAGUUAGGGGUGAAAUUAUGAGUAAUUUUAAAUAUUAUAUUAAAAAAAGGGAAUAUAUUAAAUCUAGAUAAAGCUAAAUAUGAUAAUAUAUAAAUUCAAAAUAAUUUAGAGUGAAAACUUAUACAUGUCAUUUAACUAUGAAAUUUAUUGCAAAAUUUGAAAUAAUAAAGAUUUUAAAUUAGUAAAUAUAAAAUUGUACUUUAACUCCCCUAAAAAUAUAAAAAUUUAAUUUAAUAUUUUAAAAAUUAUAAAGAUAUAGACUAUUAAAAUAGUAAAUUACCUUUUUUAUAUUAUAAAAAUUACAAUUUAAUUUCGACCCUUAAAAAAAUUUAUUGACUUCGCCCCUACUCUUAAAGUUGAUAUGCAUCAUCACACUACAAAAUAAAAACCUAAACUUCAAAAAAAUCUUUUUAUUUAAUACUAAUAUAUAUUUUUAAAUUUUAUUAAAAGUAUUUAUAGCCAUGUUGAAUUUUAUAUAUUAUUUGUUUUUAAUAUACAUAAUUCAAUUUUAUAAUUUUUUAACUCGCAAAAUUUCAAUAACUUAAAAUUUUCUAAAACAAUUAAUUAUUCAAAAAAAGAAGCAUUUUAAAUUAUGAAUUUUGAGAUUCAAACAUUUUAAAACUAAAUUUAAAAAAAAAAUUAUCCAAACGGCACCUAAAUCUUAAAAAUUCAAACUUUUUAAUCUCCCUAUUAAUAAAUUUUCUUUGAAUUUUCUUAUCCAUGUUAUAAGAAAUGAUAUUAUGAUUUAGGUUGAGUAAAAUGAAGGGUUUGUUUAGUAAUGUUUAAAAAAAUACUUUUGAAAGAAAAGUUGUACUAAAUAAAUUAUUUUUCGCUAAAAUUUUUUAUUUUUUAAAAAUACUUCUGAAAAUGAUAAAUUAAAAUUUUUAACUUUUUCUUUUUUAAAAAUAUUUUUAUUACUUAAUUACUUUUUCACCCUCUAAUAAUAUCACUUUUUAAAAAUAUUUUUCAAAAGCAUUACUAAGAUAAGCCUAAGUUAAUAUUUUCAUAUAUGAAAUAAGUUUACAAACUACAAAAGCCAAGCUGACAGAGCUUUGAACAAACCAAAGCUACAAAAGAACAUGAUGCAAAGCUUCCACUAAAAAUGGAUCAACCUAAAGCUUAAACCAGGCAGCCCAACAGAAUCCUAAACUUGAUUCAAAGCCAUUGCAUUAGCAAACGACCAUCAAGAUGAUCCUUCACCUUGAUGCCAUGAAUCCCUUUCCAAACGUUGCGGCCCUUGUAAUAAUGAAGUCACGGCCACUAGACUUGAGAUAAUAGAUCACGACCCUACGAAAACUCGUGGAAAAAAACCGUCAUCGGCACAGAAAAGGGACACGUCUUUGCGCUCGAGCGAAAGAGUCGAGCAAAGAGUUCGCACCAAGGAAGGCAGUGGACUAAAUCGAGUCCACAACUUAUUAUUCCGCAACUGAUCCUCAUAACACUGGAAAAUUGGUCAGUGGCCGACUGAUGGUAUGACAAAAGUGCCAAGUGGGGGUGGCGGUCGGUCGCUAUUAGAACCAUGGGAAGCUCUAAGCUUCCUUUUUCGAUCUCGCCGUUUGGGAUCUCCUAUCAGAAGUCCAAGCGAUCAGUCCUCUUGGCCUAAACUAAGAGACGACCCUCCGGCUACUUGAGGUGAAUCUAACUAGGCUCCUCCAAGACUUUGACUAACAGUACGGGAUGAUGAUGUUAUUUCAAGAGGAAAAAGAAAAAGGCUAAACCAUAGAAGAGAAUCUUAAAAGAGUAGGGCGAGCCACGCCAUUCAAGGUGGUACCGGCGGCGGAUGUCUACAAAGGAGCAAGAAAACAGCGGUGAACAAGCUAUUUCUUGGAUGCAGGAGGGCAUCAAAAGAGAGCUAGAGAAGGAGGUAAUACUGGAGCAAAUUCAUCAGAGAGUUUAGAAAACAUCUCCAUGAAAGGUUAUUGAGUUUGGGGCUGACUCGUUGAAUGCAAGUGGUGGAAUUCAUAUUUGGCCUUUGUUUUCUCUGGGUGUAAUUUUAAGAGGUAAAAAUAAUGAAUAAACUGCGCAUCCGGGGAAUCGAACCCCGGUCAGUACCGUGGGAGGGUACUAUGAUACCACUACACUAGAUGCGCUAGGAUGUGAAUGAGCUUUCUAUUUUGUAUGAGUAAUAGUAGAAGAGUAAUUCGAUUGGUAUGAAUAUUGUUAACAAUUCAGGAGGAUAUGGAUUCUAGUAGACUCAAGCACGUUAUCGUCCUAUUUAUGGAUUGAGGAUGAACUAUAUAAUGAGAUUGUUAAAAAAAAAAACUCGUUAAGUGAGAAUGAAAUAGAGAAAAAAUAGUUUGGAUAGAAUGUAUAAAGAAUAGAUAAAGAAUUGUAUGAAAUUGUAAUUUCACGUCAUCGCUAUCCCUUUUCAAUAGAAGCAUGACAAAAUUAGGUGACAGAUGAUAUGAUUUUUUUGUAUUUUAUAUGUUCAAUUACUUUUAGUUUUAUUUCUUUAAUUAAUUAAAAAUAAUGAAAAUUUUUUCAUUUGGGUUUUAAAAUUUUUUCCUUAUUUAAUAUUAAUUUAUUAUGCGUAACUCAAUACCUAUUUUCUUAACAUAAAUUUUCUCUAAUACUGACAAUAUUUUUGUAGCAUAACAAAAAAAAAAGCGUUGUUUGUGUUCUAUGUAAUUUGUAUAAUAUUUAACAAUCAAAUUGAACCUAAGAAAAAGCUUAGGUACCAAAUUAGGAAAACAUACCAAUUUCAGGUAUCAAAUUGGGCCCAAAAAGGUAUAGGUACCAAAUUAAGAAAAAGUGUCAAGUUUAAAUAUCAAAUUGAGGUUACUUUUAUGAAAAUUUAAUAUUUUCUGGUGUUUGAAUGAAUUUGUAUAAAAUAUUUUAUGUUAUUUGGAAAAUUUACUAAAAAUAUUUCAUAAAAACUGCUCUCAUGAAACAAACAUACAUUUGAGAUUUUAUUAUCUUUUUCUUGUUUAAUUGAGUUUAUUUCAUAAAGCUUAUUUAUAUUUUAAUUUUAAUUAAUUUUAAUUUACUUAAAUAAGCUUAAUUGUUAAUUUCGUAUGUCGAAACCAUCCCCUUCGUGAUUUUAAAUUUUAAGUUUAAAAGAAAAAUGGGGGAUCGACUGUUUGAAAAACAAAUACAUGGAGUCGCCACCGAUCCUUUAGUUUUGGUGUGAUCGGAUCACCUGAGAAUUCGGUUAUUUUAAUAAAACAUUUUUAGUUUACUAAAACAACGAUUCUGGUCUACGAAAAUAUGAGAAAAUGGGCUCGGGAGUCAGUUACGCAUGAGGAAGGAUUAGCACCCUCACUACGCCCGAAAUUGGUACCAAAUCGAUUAAAUACUGUCCUUAUGUCAAAGCUUAAAAAAUAUUUUUGAAAUGUGGUUCUUAUCGAUAACGUUUAAAUAACCCGAGUGGGUUAUCAAAACUUCUUGUUUCGACGUCCGAAAGUCUACAAUUUGAAAUUAACAAAAGGAUGCUCAACUGUUUGGUUCAACGAAAAAUCGAAACCCAGCACAGUAGGGCACGAUUCCUCGAAUUUCCAAACAUUGUCCAUUGCCUUACCUUAGAAAAUAAGGAUGAAAUUCCAAAGGGAUCCUUGAUGGUUUUGAGCAAAUGAAAAAGCGUAACCCAGCACGAUAGGGCUCGAUUCCCAAAUUGCCAAACAUCGAACAUCACCUUCGUUUUGAAAGGUUUUUAGUACUUAUGAAUCAAGACCUAAAGGAAUACUCGAUUGUUUUGAACAAACGAGAAAUCACAACCCAGCACGAUAAGGCAUGAUUCCCGAAUUGUCAAACACCGAGUAUUGCCCUCAUUUUAAAGGAUUUUUAAAAGAGCCGAGUGAAAUUUUGAAGGGAUAUUUGAUUAUUUUAAACAAUCGAGAAAUUGCUACCCCACACGUUAGGGCACGAUCCCACGAAUUGCCAAAUACCAGAUAUCGCCUUCAUUUUAGGGAUUUUAAAAGACACGAGCGAAAUUUUAAAGUGAUAUUCGAUUAUUUUGAGCAGAUGCGAAAUUGCAACCCAACACGUUAGGGCACGAUUCCGCGAAUUGCCAAACAUCAAAUCUCAUCUUAGUUUAAGGGAUUUUAAAAGAUAUGAAUGGAAUUUCGAAGGGAAAUUCAAUUAUUUUGAGCAAAUACGAAAUUGCAACCCAACACGUUAGGGCACGAUUCCGCGAAUUGCCGAACAUCAAAUUUCGUCUUCGUUUUGAAGAAUUUUUGGAUGAAUACUUAAAAACAUAUUAAUUCGAUUUGAAAUAAGAUGACAUUAAUCGUAAAAAAUUGGGUUUUAGAACCACAUUUCAAAAAUCAAAAGGAAAACAAUGAAUGGGGUAAUAUGUACAUGCGAGACGCAAUGCUUAGCGAAUGAAAAUAUGAAUCAAUUAGCAGAACAAGUAAUUAAAUAUAAUUAGUCUAAGUUAACCUAAUUUCAAUCGCGUAAUAAUAAUCGGCAUGUCAAUAAGAUGAAUACCAUGCGAUAAUAACGCAUAUACUACAAUGUAAAACAACCAACAAAAUACAUGCGAAACGAAAUAGAAUUUGAAAAUCAAAGUGGUAUGAGACGACGUCUAAACACAAACGACCUAAUGAAUCAAAUGUUUGUACUACAAGUGAAUUAAUGAAUUGGUGCAUUUUAAAAUCUAUUUGUAAAAAAGGAAAAACUAGGGAUAUACACUUAAUCAUUUAAAGUACAUAUUAUAAAAUGAAUGUUUAAAUCGAAAACCGCACCAAAACGUUGAACAAAUGGUUUUUAAAAAACGAGGAUUUAUAUAAUAAAGAUUUAAAAUACGUGUAAAAUAUAUUAAAAAUAAUAAUAAUAAAAAGUAUAAUACGAUAUAAUCUUUAGAAACAUAAUGGAUCUACAAAUCAUAUAUAUAUAUAACUUUUAAAAAUAAUUAUUUGUAAAAACAUGGAAAUACAUACAUGAUUAAAUUAAUCUUAUAACGAAUUAUAUAAUAAUUUUAAGAACUUACCUAUGUAUAUAUGUAAAGAAAGCUAUGUAUAUAGAGUACAUAAAUUUAAUAAGGUAUGUGUAUAUAUCAAACAUGGGUAUCAAUAAAAAUAUAUAUAAUGAUGAUUUUAAAAAAUACAUAUAUAUUAUGUAAGAUUAUACAAUAAAGGAUGGGAAUAAAUUUAAGAAACUGUGUAUGUAAAACAAUAUAGGAUUAAUAAAAUGAACCUUGUUAUAAAGUGCAUAUAUAUACAUAUAGAAGAGCACUUUAAACAAACAAAUUUAAAAAGAAAAUAAAUAAAUGGAUAUAUAUAGUUACAUAUGCGUAUAUAUAUGCAUGCAUAUAAUAAUUUAAAAAAAUAUUUCAUAGGAUUAUAAUAAAAUACGAGAAUAGAUUUAAGGAAUCAUAUGUAAAAAAAAAGUGUUGAUAGCAGCAUGUAUAUGAAAUGAGACCAACUUUAAUACAAACUACAUGUGUAUAUACAUAUAUAUUCAUGAAUAUAUAAUAAUGUAUAUAAGAAUAUUUACAUGAAAUAUACAAAACAUAUUAAAAUAACCAAUGUAUGAAUGUAUGAAUAAAUUAAUUAAGAUGAAAUUAAAACAAGAAAAUGACUGAUUUACAAAUAAAAUAGUCCAGGAGGAUCAAAGUGCAAAGCGUGCCAGCAUACAGGGACUAGAACUGAGAAUAGGCCCAGCUUUAAAACGCAGCGCAGGGAUAUGGACCAAUGCGAAUUCGUGUGUAAACUAUGGGAAAAAAUUUUUAAAAAAAAGGAGCACCCAUGCAGGCUGGUUUGAAUAGGGUGCGAAUGGGGAGGGACUGAUAUGGCAAAUAAUCCCUCACCGCAAAAACACGUGGGUCAUCGGGGCAGCAAACCGGAUCGGGUCGAGCGCAUAAGCUUGUGCGACGCCGUUUUGGGGCCACGGUAAUAAGCCUCAAACGACGUCGUCUAAGCAGGUAUAAAAACCCCCUUUCAUGCUAGAUUUCCAAAGCUCCCCAAACCCUAGCCCCUUUUCAUUAGCUGCGCCUCCAUUCUCUCCCUCGAGAGAGCACCUGCCCGCAGCAAGGUGUGAUGACCGACGCUCCAAGUUCUGAAGUAUGGCCCAUUUUAGCCACAGAUCCCCCUUCUAUCUUCGAUUACGACGAAGUGAUAGGGGACCGACGGCCCAGAAGCGAGGUAAGUCCUAUAUUUUCCCUCCUUUUUUUUAUUUUGAUAUGAAGAACGAAAAAGAAAAAUAAAAAAAGCAGAUCAAGAGAAAAAAAACGUAAUAAACCCGAGAUUCAAAGCAGGAAAUCACCUUGCUCUCUUUUUUGCUUUCUAUUGCUUCUGUAUGCGUGUGUUCAUAACCCCUUACAAGGAUCAAAAGCUUGGCUUUUUAUAGCCGAAAAGAAAGAAAAAUAAAUAAAAAAUAUACAAACGUUCUUUGUUUCUAUUCGCUGCUGUUUUUGUUUCCUUUCGCAGGGACGGUGUCCACUGGCAUGCGUCGGCCUUUGGCGCGAGGCGUACGGGGCUGUGCACGAGGGUACGGAGGUGGCUGACGUGGGUGCUGGGGCUUGGCUACCUGGUGAAGGCUACGACGCAGGAGAAAAAGAACCCUAGGGUUCUGGGGUUGUAAUUUUCUGGGCCUAUCGGGCCUGUAUUUGGAUCUUGGGUCAUUUAGGGUAUUGGGCCUCUAGAUUUGGGUUAGGGUUUGUUACAAAUUUGGGCUAGGAUUUAUGUAACUGGGCUUGUUAUUGGUUAUUAGGCCAUGUAAUUGGACUGUUAUAAAACUUGGGUUUAAAAAAUUUUUGUUUAUUGAUUUAUCUUGUAUUUUAUUUUUGGUUUUUUGUGUUUGUUUGGGCCGGGCAAAUUUGGCCCACUACAUCGUACAUUAGGGAAUAUAAAUUUAUAGAUAUAAAUUUAUGUUUAAUAGGACCAAAUGCUUGUAUGAAAUAUUCUGUAUAUGUAUGGUGAGUAUGGAUGGUUGGUGUGAUUUGUAGUUGUUUAACGGAGAGUCACCUUGAUGAUGACUAAUGUGUUGCUCGAAAUUUAGGUCGGACUGUGCCGGUUGAAUUUGGGGUGUCACAAAUUAUACAAACAAUAUAUUCAAAUUCAAUUAUUAUGUGACUUUUCAAAUGCACCUUAAUAUUAAAAACACUAAUAUUUUGCUUAUUGGUCAUAGGUAUUACCCACAUUGUGAGUUUGAGUUAUAUUUUGUGUGCACUCCUACUAAAAAAAAAGAGGUGUACCAAAAAUAUACAUUAAACUAGUAUGGUUACUACCCAUGUUUCUCGUCGGGGAAAUUAUUUAUUUAUUUGACUAAAUCAUAGAGUACAAAUUUAGAAGUUGUAAUAUGCUCAAAUUUUUUGUACUUUUUUUUAUAUUUGGAGU